rnacentral:pre_miRNA from 1 species
AGUGAAAUUGCUAGGUCAUAGGAUAGGUUUACGUUUAACUUUUUAAGAAAUUGCCAAAGUAUUUUCAAAAGUGGCUGUAUCAUUUUACAUUCUUGCUUGCAAU